UCACUACUUGCGUAGGCAGUUCCUUUAGAGUCCCCAGCAUGACCUGAUGGCAACUAAAGGUAGGGGUUGCGCUCGUUAUGGGACUUAACCCGACACCUCACGGCACGAGCUGACGACAACCAUGCAGCACCUCGUAAAAUGCUCCGAAGAGAUGUAAGCUUUCACCUACAGUCAUCUUACGUUCGAGCCCAGGUAAGGUUCCUCGCGUAUCAUCGAAUUAAACCACAUGCUCCUCCGCUUGUGCGGGCCCCCGUCAAUUCCUUUGAGUUUCAAUCUUGCGAUCGUACUCCCCAGGUGGAUUACUUAUUGCUUUCGCUCAGACGCUGACUGUGUAUCGCCAACAUCGAGUAAUCAUCGUUUACAGCGUGGACUAC
rnacentral:misc_RNA from 1 species